rnacentral:tRNA from 1 species
AAAAAGAUAAGCUAAACAAAGCUUUUGGGUUCAUACCCCGAAUAUAAAGGUCCUCUUUUCUUUUUA